AACUAGCCCUGAUUAAAACGGCAUCCUUUACUUGCUUCUUUAAGCAAGUAAAGAUAAAGUGGAAAGCAGGAAUAAGC
rnacentral:sRNA from 1 species